UCGAGUCUGAAGCGCGCGUCCGGUUGAGCUGGCCGCAAGGCAAGUGCUUGCUGGUGCUGCGUUCCUUCUCCAACCCCCCCUUCUUGUGCACUCUGGCGUGAGCUCCGAAGGAGGCCUUUUGGCUUCCGGAAGGGCUUGCGUUCUUUAUACAUACCCCACCGCAAGGAUGUAGAAUGUCAUUUGGUUUGCGCUUGACGCAGAACAAUA
rnacentral:misc_RNA from 1 species